UCGGGGCUUAUUCCCUUACUUGGGAGGAAAGAGGAACCAAGAGACAGAAGGGGGACCGAAGCUGGCGUCUGGGCGUCUUCCCGCCCGCGCAGCCCUCUCGGGGAGGGGGAUGGCAGCCCGAGUCGGCGCCGCGCAGCUCGGGCGGCCCGGUUGGGGUCCGGCAGCCCUGGGGGCUUCCGCUUGCUCCGGAAUCCGCGGCUCCAAAGCAGCCUGUGUCGGCUGCCCGCUACUACGGCACUGCGGCGCCCUGCCCGUAGCAGCUUGACCUGAAGCCUCCGGGGGAUCCUGUGCUGGCUCUUUAAAAACAUAGACUCAAGUGUCGGAAGUACUGGUUUCCGGAGGAAGGACUCAGCAAACCUGGUUUCGCUUGGGCCUCGGGCUCUCCAUCAGUGAAGGAGGGCAGUGGGGAGUGGCCCAGGCGAUCUUUGCAGCUCUCACAUUCCAGCAUUUCUGGACCAGCCCAUCUUCCCUGGACUUGGUUGGAGACAGAGGAGGCUGGGAGCCUGGAGACUUGAGCCAACUCUGCAGGACCUUGGGAAGAAGGCAGAUUAAAGACAGAAUCAAUAAACAAACUGCUACUUAAGGAACGCUAUCUUAGUCCUCCACUCAUCCAUGUAAUUUUCCCCAAAACUCUUUUGUCACCACACCAUAUUUCCCUUUUUCCAUGUGGACUCAGCUUUUACUGAGCAGUCACCCACGGGAAGAAGAGGUCACUAACGUACAAGCCACCAGCCCAGGGUAGUAGGCAGAAUAAUGUCCCUCAAAAAUAUCAGGUCUAAAUCCCUGGGACCUGUGAAGGUUACCUUAUUUGGGGAAAGGGGCUUUGCAGUUGUUAUUAAGUUAAAGAUUUUGAGAUGAGGCAAUUAGCCCGGAUUAUCCAGCUGUGCCCUAAAUGCAAUCACACAUUUCCUUACGGGGGGAGACAGGAGGAGAUUUGAAAGACAGAGGAGAGGGCCAUUGGAAGAUGCUGGCCUUGAAGACGAGUGAGUGACACAACCAUAAGCUAAGGAAUGCCGGCAGCCACCAGAAGCUGGAAGAGGCAAGGAAGAGAUUCUCCCCCAGAGUCUCCGGAGGGAAUGAAGCCCUUUGACACAUGGAUUUCUGCCCAGUUAUACUGAUUUUGGACUUUUGGCCUCCAAAACUGUGAGAGAAUAAAUGUCUGUUGUUUUUAAGGCACUAAGUUUGUGGUGACUUGUUACAGCAGCUGUAGAAAACCAAUGCACCCAGCCUCAUCGUACCCCUCAAACCUCCACAUUCUGCACAAAGCCCUGCGUUCUGAGUGUGCCCCAAAGCUGCUGUUUCUCUCGGGAUGACGGGACCAUCUAGACUUUCUGGAUCUGCUGUAAUGAAAAAGCCAUGGGCUUGGAGGUAUGAAGAGGACCUAAAUUAGAGAUCCAGUUCAUUACUUACUUGUGGUGGGCAGAGGACCUCAUCGCUCCAACCCUGUUUUCUCAUCUGUAAAAUGGGAAUGAUAAUCCCUGAGAAGCUCACUCAUGUAGUGUUAGGACUAUGUGAUAGAAUGAACUUAAAGGCAGCUUGUCAUGCUUAAAACUCCAUGUACACCUAUUAUUUUUCAUUGAAUCCUGCUUCCUGGGCACAAUCCUAGGCAUAUCGCUAGUGAUAUGCAAGUAAGAGUCAGGUUGGGAGAAUCGUUUGUGGCCCUUGCUAGCUCUGAUAUUUUCCAAUGCUUGUUUUCUCUGGUUCUGUGUGAUAGGGAGCAGUGGAACAAGGUGUGAAUGAUCCUAGGGAGGGUUUAUGGAUGUAAACUCUUUCCCAGACCCCCUAAACUAGAGUCACUAACAUGCUUUAUCAAUAGGUUGAUCAAGACCAUAAAAAUCCUAGAUGUGUUCAUGACCUUCACACCACCAAGAUGAAAGGACCUGUCUUGAGUCUGAUAACUUGUGGAAGAUGUCUUAUUUGCUUUAUGUCUCCAGUGCCUGGUAUGGAAAACCCAAUAAAUGUUUGUUGGAUGAAUGAAGGAAUGGAUGGAUAUAUGAAUUAACGAAUGAAAAGAAAUGAGCUCUGAACAUCCACAAA
ensembl:lncRNA